rnacentral:lncRNA from 1 species
UUUCAAUCUGUUCUUUGAGUAAUUUUCUGAAUGUUGUGGAUUUGUUAUUGUAGGUGAAAGCCUCUCUUGGAAUGAAUGUGUUCAGUGCCAUAACAGCAGGACUAGCUAUUCUUCUGAUGGGUGUACAAUUAGGAAUAUCAUUGGAAUAUCCAAGGUUCGAUGUUCAGAAUUUUAUUUUGCGGUCUGUUGGAAUAAUGCUGGUGUUCACUAUACCUCAGUUCAUCAUCUCCAUCUGUAUAUCAGCACUUGCCUGCAAAGCCACCUGCAACAUCCAUUCUACAGUGGUCAAUGUGGCACUAAACCAGGGAUACUAAGUCAUGGUGAGGAGAUCCUAGCAUCCAAAGGCUACAGAGAAUUAAAGUCUCAUAUUCUUGUUUUAGAUUUUAAAAAUAUCUGUUGUCCAUAUUUUAUAAUUAUAUGUGAAAUGGAUUUUAAUAUGCUUCUGCAUCAGACAUGGCCCAAUGUUUUGUAAUGUAUUGUUUAUGUCAUGUUUAAUAUGGACUAAAGAUUACAUUUGUUAACCAGGAUUCUUAAGUUUCUCCAGAAACUUGUAUUUUAGUUUGUUGU